rnacentral:rRNA from 1 species
UACGGAGGGGGCUAGCGUUGUUCGGAAUUACUGGGCGUAAAGCGCGCGUAGGCGGCGCGGUAAGUCGGGUGUGAAAUCUUGGAGCUUAACUCCGAAACUGCAUUCGAUACUGCCGUGCUUGAGGACUGGAGAGGAGACUGGAAUUUACGGUGUAGCGGUGAAAUGCGUAGAUAUCGUAAGGAAGACCAGUGGCGAAGGCGGGUCUCUGGACAGUUCCUGACGCUGAGGCACGAAGGCCAGGGGAGCAAACGGG